GAGAAUUCAAUAAAAAAAAUCGCACCUUAUGGAUCACGGCAGAUUUGGAGCGGAACCGAUUCGGCUUAGGGGUUGAGCCAGAGAAAUGCUGUUUCUUUACUUUUGACAAACCUCAACGAUUCUAAUAAGGUUCUCGCUCUCUAUCCCGGAGGUGGGAUGUGGUGGGGUGGGGUUUGUGUUUGUGUUUGUAUAUACGUAUAUAUAGGAUUGGAAGGGCGUUUGAAUGAACAAAAAUGUCUCUGAAAUCUGAACAAUGUAGAUGGAUACAUUUAUAUAUAACUAACAACUUUACCUCACGCGCUACGAAGCCGCACACAGUAUCUUAGACAGGUUUCGUCCCCUUUCGGGAACACCUUCUUACUAG
rnacentral:lncRNA from 1 species